AGUCGAGCGGUAACAGAGAGGUGCUUGCACCUUUGCUGACGAGCGGCGGACGGGUGAGUAAUGCUUGGGAACAUGCCUUGAGGUUGGGGACAACAGUUGGAAACGACUGCUAAUACCGCAUAAUGUCUACGGACCAAAGGGGGCUUCGGCUCCCGCCUUUAGAUUGGCCCAAGUGGGAUUAGCUAGUUGGUGAGGUAAUGGCUCACCAAGGCGACGAUCCCUAGCUGGUUUGAGAGGAUGAUUAGCCACACUGGGACUGAGACACGGCCCAGACUCCUACGGGAGGCAGCAGUGGGGAAUAUUGCACAAUGGGCGCAAGCCUGAUGCAGCCAUGCCGCGUGUGUGAAGAAGGCCUUCGGGUUGUAAAGCACUUUCAGUCAGGAGGAAAGGUUAGUAGUUAAUACCUGCUAGCUGUGACGUUACUGACAGAAGAAGCACCGGCUAACUCCGUGCCAGCAGCCGCGGUAAUACGGAGGGUGCGAGCGUUAAUCGGUAUUACUGGGCGUAAAGCGUACGCAGGCGGUUUGUUAAGCGAGAUGUGAAAGCCCCGGGCUCAACCUGGGAACUGCAUUUCGAACUGGCAAACUAGAGUGUGAUAGAGGGUGGUAGAAUUUCAGGUGUAGCGGUGAAAUGCGUAGAGAUCUGAAGGAAUACCGAUGGCG
rnacentral:rRNA from 1 species